GCUCUCACUGCAGGGAGGGAAGGUGCACACACAGGCACAGGUGAGCUCUCACUGCAGGGAGGGAAGGUGCACACACAGGUACAGGUACAGGUGAGCUCUCACUGCAGGGAGGGAAGGUGCACACACAGGUACAGGCACAGGUGAGCUCUCACUGCAGGGAGGGAAGGUGCACACACAGGCACAGGUACAGGUGAGCUCUCACUGCAGGGAGGGAAGGUGCACACACAGGUACAGGUACAGGUGAGCUCUCACUGCAGGGAGGGAAGGUGCACACACAGGUACAGGUACAGGUGAGCUCUCACUGCAGGGAGGGAAGGUGCACACACAGGCACAGGUGAGCUCUCACUGCAGGGAGGGAAGGUGCACACACAGGUACAGGUACAGGUGAGCUCUCACUGCAGGGAGGGAAGGUGCACACACAGGUACAGGUACAGGUGAGCUCUCACUGCAGGGAGGGAAGGUGCACACACAGGUACAGGUACAGGUGAGCUGUCACUGCAGGGAGGGAAGGUGCACACACAGGCACAGGUACAGGUGAGCUCUCACUGCAGGGAGGGAAGGUGCACACACAGGUACAGGUACAGGUGAGCUCUCACUGCAGGGAGGGAAGGUGCACACACAGGCACAGGUGAGCUCUCACUGCUGGGAGGGAAGGUGCACACACAGGCACAGGUGAGCUCUCACUGCAGGGAGGGAAGGUGCACACACAGGUACAGGUACAGGUGAGCUCUCACUGCAGGGAGGGAAGGUGCACACACAGGUACAGGCACAGGUGAGCUCUCACUGCAGGGAGGGAAGGUGCACACACAGGUACAGGCACAGGUGAGCUCUCACUGCAGGGAGGGAAGGUGCACACACAGGUACAGGCACAGGUGAGCUCUCACUGCAGCGAGAGAA